rnacentral:rRNA from 1 species
GGUGAACGCUAGCGGUGCGCCUAACACAUGCAAGUCGAGCGGGAUCUAUACGACCGAUCUCUUCGGAGUGAAGAUGUAUAGUGAGAGCGGCGAACGGGUGAGUAACAAGUUGGUAUCUGCCCCCAAGUCAGGGAUAGCCAUUGGAAACGAUGAUUAAUACCGGAUAGUCUCUUCGGAGUAAAAAUUUAUUGCUUGGGGAGGAGCCUGCUUUCUAUCAGCUUGUUGGUAGUGUAAUAGACUACCAAGGCUAUGACGGAUAACUGGUCUGAGAGGAUGACCAGUCACAAUGGAACUGAGACACGGUCCAUACUCCUACGGGAGGCAGCAGUGAGGAAUCUUCCACAAUGGACGAAAGUCUGAUGGAGCGACACCGCGUGAAGGAUGACGGCCUAACGGUUGUAAACUUCUUUUCUGAGGGAGCAUAAUGAGAGUACCUUAGGAAUAAGGGACGGCUAAAUACG